rnacentral:misc_RNA from 1 species
AAAAAAGAACAGCACCUUCACUAGAUUGUUACGACGAACCUGUCGUUGUUUGACUGCACAUCUUCGUAACGAGCAUUGCUCGUUUACGAGAUUUCCUCAGUACAGUUGCAGUUUAGUGUAGCAAGUUUUUCAACUAGGAGCAACAGUUUCCGUUACGUUGAGACUUGUGCACUUCUUUCUGUUUCGAGAUUUGUUUUUUCACCACGGCGGAACCUUUCUCCACUAGACUUGGUACAUCCAGUAUCUUCAGCGUGAGAUCUUUGAAACAUAGUUGCACGUUUUCUCUUGUCCUUGCACUACAUUCGAGAAAUAAACAAUUGUGCUCCUUCGCAAAUGCCAGGCCUUCUUCUCUAGUAACAGCUCUUUCACUAUCCCUAUCGACUUUGUUCCCAACUAGCAUCUUGAUACACUCGGGAUUCGUGGAGUAAGACUUUAUAUCCUUCGCCCAAGUUUCUGAUAAGUUUGUAAAGGUCUCUCGUCUUGUUACAUCAUACACUAGAAUUAUUCCGUGAGCCCCUCGAUAAUAUGAACUUGUUAAUGCUCCAAACCUCUCUUGUCCAGCUGUAUCCCAAAUUGUUAAUUUCAACCUCUUGCUACCAACCGUUAGCAUCCUGAUUUUGAAGUCCACACCAACAG